GACGAACGCUGGCGGCGUGCUUAACACAUGCAAGUCGAGCGGUAAGGCCCUUCGGGGUACACGAGCGGCGAACGGGUGAGUAACACGUGAGCAAUCUGCCCUUCACUCUGGGAUAACCCCCGGAAACGGGCGCUAAUACCGGAUAUGACCACUACACGCAUGUGUUGGUGGUGGAAAGUUCUGGCGGUGGAGGAUGAGCUCGCGGCCUAUCAGCUUGUUGGUGGGGUAAUGGCCCACCAAGGCUUCGACGGGUAGCCGGCCUGAGAGGGUGACCGGCCACACUGGGACUGAGACACGGCCCAGACUCCUACGGGAGGCAGCAGUGGGGAAUAUUGGACAAUGGGCGAAAGCCUGAUCCAGCAACGCCGCGUGAGGGAUGACGGCCUUCGGGUUGUAAACCUCUUUCAGCGCAGACGAAGCGAGAGUGACGGUAUGCGCAGAAGAAGCACCGGCCAACUACGUGCCAGCCGCCGCGGUAAUAC
rnacentral:rRNA from 1 species